GGGGUUGUGGCUUAGUGGUAGAGUGCUUUCCUAGCAUGUGUGAGGCACUGGGUUCGAUCCUCAGCACCUCA
rnacentral:tRNA from 1 species